AAGAUGCAUGUGAUGAAAACAUAGUUCAGCUGACCUUUUGUGAAGAUCAGUCUUUCGCUCCUAUCUGAUGUAUCUU
ensembl:snoRNA